UAAGCAUAUCAAUAAGCGGAGGAAAAGAAACCAACAGGGAUUGCCCCAGUAACGGCGAGUGAAGCGGCAAGAGCUCAAAUUUGAAAGCUGGCCCCCUCGGGGUCCGCGUUGUAAUUUGCAGAGGAUGCUUCGGGUGCAGCCCCCGUCUAAGUGCCCUGGAACGGGCCGUCAUAGAGGGUGAGAAUCCCGUCUGGGACGGGGUGUCUGCGUCCGUGUGAAGCUCCUUCGACGAGUCGAGUUGUUUGGGAAUGCAGCUCUAAAUGGGUGGUAAAUUUCAUCUAAAGCUAAAUACUGGCCGGAGACCGAUAGCGCACAAGUAGAGUGAUCGAAAGAUGAAAAGCACUUUGAAAAGAGAGUUAAACAGCACGUGAAAUUGUUGAAAGGGAAGCGUUUGCGACCAGACUCGCCCGCGGGGUUCAGCCGGCAUUCGUGCCGGUGUACUUCCCCGUGGGCGGGCCAGCGUCGGUUUGGGCGGCCGGUCAAAGGCCCUCGGAAUGUAUCACCUCUCGGGGUGUCUUAUAGCCGAGGGUGCAAUGCGGCCUGCCUGGACCGAGGAACGCGCUUCGGCUCGGACGCUGGCGUAAUGGUCGUAAAUGACCCGUCUUGAAACACGGACCAAGGAGUCUAACAUCUACGCGAGUGUUCGGGUGUCAAACCCGUACGCGCAGUGAAAGCGAACGGAGGUGGGAGCCCCCCCGCGGGGCGCACCAUCGACCGAUCCUGAUGUCUUCGGAUGGAUUUGAGUACGAGCGUAGCUGUGGGGACCCGAAAGAUGGUGAACUAUGCCUGAAUAGGGCGAAGCCAGAGGAAACUCUGGUGGAGGCUCGCAGCGGUUCUGACGUGCAAAUCGAUCGUCAAAUUUGGGUAUAGGGGCGAAAGACUAAUCGAACCAUCUAGUAGCUGGUUCCUGCCGAAGU
rnacentral:rRNA from 1 species